CCCUGCUCUUCGGAGCCAGAAAUGACUCAAACUUCACAAACAGCCGGGGCCUGCCAGGGAGGGUGACAAUGAGCGCUGGAGCGGGUUUUCUCCCCCUGGUUGGUGUCUCCUCACCCCCGCUUGCUGCAGUGGCAGAUUCUGGACAGUGUGUAGCCUGUGAGGUAAUCUGAAUUCCUUGGCAACCGGCAAGUACCUGAAUUCUUUCAAAACCGCAGGAAUCCAGCAGAGAAAAGACCAUCUGUGACGCACAGUGGCCCGAGAAUCUUCCUAUCUUAUUACCACUGCAUGAAAGCACAAUGUGAUCCUGGAUCCCAGCUAGGAAAGGCGAGUGUGUACAUAUAGAGGCUUACUCAUGUGCGCGGAUAUGCAGAGCCUGCUGUGGACCAACACUGAACCACUGGUCCCAGCGUGGGCAACAAGUGCUCUCAGAGGAAUGGCCUCUCCGAGGGGAAGCAGGAGAACUGUGACCAUCCCUGACGCGAGUCCCAGAGGAUGAACACCCCACUGCGUGACCGGACCAGACGGCA